GACGAACGCUGGCGGCGUGCUUAACACAUGCAAGUCGAACGGAAAGGCCCUGCUUUUGUGGGGUGCUCGAGUGGCGAACGGGUGAGUAACACGUGAGUAACCUGCCCUUGACUUUGGGAUAACUUCAGGAAACUGGGGCUAAUACCGGAUAGGAGCUCCUGCUGCAUGGUGGGGGUUGGAAAGUUUCGGCGGUUGGGGAUGGACUCGCGGCUUAUCAGCUUGUUGGUGGGGUAGUGGCUUACCAAGGCUUUGACGGGUAGCCGGCCUGAGAGGGUGACCGGCCACAUUGGGACUGAGAUACGGCCCAGACUCCUACGGGAGGCAGCAGUGGGGAAUAUUGCACAAUGGGCGGAAGCCUGAUGCAGCAACGCCGCGUGCGGGAUGACGGCAUUCGGGUUGUAAACCGCUUUCGCCUGUGACGAAGCGUGAGUGACGGUAAUGGGUAAAGAAGCACCGGCCAACUACGUG
rnacentral:rRNA from 1 species